CACAUAAUAGCUUAAACUUCUAAAGCGUUAAACUUUUAAUUUAAAUAUAAGACUUUCUUUUAUGUGG
rnacentral:tRNA from 1 species